AUACGGAGGGUGCGAGCGUUAAUCGGAAUUACUGGGCGUAAAGGGUGCGUAGGCGGCUUGAUAAGUCGGAUGUGAAAGCCCCGGGCUUAACCUGGGAAUUGCAUUCGAUACUGUCAGGCUAGAGUAUGUCAGAGGUUGGCGGAAUUCCUGGUGUAGCAGUGAAAUGCGUAGAUAUCAGGAGGAACACCAGUGGCGAAGGCGGCUAACUGGGGCAAUACUGACGCUGAGGCACGAAAGCGUGGGGAGCAAACAGGAUUAGAAACCCUAGUAGUCC
rnacentral:rRNA from 1 species